AUGACCUGAACCCAAAUCAAGAGUCAGACGCUCAACUGACUGAGCCACCCAGGCACCCCAAGAUCAAUAGUUUAAAAAGCAUUAAAACAGGACACAGUUGUAAACUAAACAGAUUUGGACUAGGUAUGAUCAACCUAUAGUUACUACUGAGCAUUUACGUCAGCACUCACAUUUUGUGUACAUUUUUGACUUGAGGCAUAUUUGGGCAAGAGGUUCAAGAACGCUUUUCCAUUCUAGCCUUCAUACGGACACGGAUACAGAGUGCUCACAGACAUGGGUCUACACAGAGAGUACUUGUGGACACCGGAUUAAAUUCAUUACACAGUGUCAUAUGGUGACCCCAGAGGCAGACACUGAACCACAAUGACCACAAUGCAUUAAAAAAGAAAAGGUGAAAGGUAGCAUAUGAAAGAUAAUGUACCAAAAUGUAAUCAGUGGUUAUGUAGAAGUUGGGUGGCAGGGGGAAGAUAGCAGGAAUAUUUUCUGUUAGGAGAAAAAAACAAAAAAAGCGUCUACAGUGUUCCUAGGGAGCCAUUUAUUAAUGUAUUCAUUUGGCCCUAAAGUUGUAAUGCUUCAUUAUCAGGAAGACUCUCAACAACAAUUAUUAUGGGUGAGUCAACUGUUCUGUUUUUGGCCAUUAAAUGUCACUCAGAUUAGUAAUCAGAACAGAGUAUCCUGUCCAGUCAAGGUUGAUAUAAAGAAACGUACAUGUGGGAAUUCUGAUUUGGAUUU